rnacentral:lncRNA from 1 species
GCGGAGGUGGGAUGACAUCUAGAAACCAUGCUAAUAAUACCAACUAAUAAUUGGAGGUGUUGACCUUGGGUUAAGAACUCAAAGAAGGAAUGGUACAAUGAUGCAGUCAAUUGUGGAAAAGUAGAAACACUGUUACAUUACGAAUAAUGCAAGGGGUUAGAAUGAGUGGGCAUUAGUUGAAAUAAGAGCAAAGAUGGAUCAUUCUCUUCCAAGAUCAAAAAUAUCGAUCCCUCGAAGGAUACAGCCCUCACAUGCUCAC